AGCCGUCCUUACAGCCAGCGAUGGAUGUGAGACACGUCUGUGGUCUGAUAAGCACCUCCCAGAAGGCUGUUAAGUACAGUCUCAUUUAUUUUGCAUUUCACUUUGUGAAGCUACAUUACAGCCCCUCUUUCAAUGUACAGUCUGGGAAGGAUGGCAAAUGGAUCGUCUGAUGAAGUGCAGGAGCUCAGAGCUUGGAGCCUGAACUACGUAAAAGCAAAGUGAGCCCUUAGACAACACUUCCACAGAAUUUGCUACUAAACUUCACUGUAGAGCAGAACUGCUACAAAUACUGGGAAGGAGAAUUUCCAUGGAAAAUGCCUGGGAACCUUCUCUGCCAAGAUGGAAAAAGAGUAAUGUUCUUUCUGCAAUUUGAGCCUAAUGUCCCAAACUCAGCAAUCAAGUGCAGUAAGAAGUCUACAAGCUCUGAAAACGGCUGUAAGAUUCUUGCAGAUUCUGAGGGACCUGUGCUUCACCCGAGGGACCUGUUCAACAUCUGUAUAAGAGAGAAGCAGCAUGUUUUUGGUUAUCUUAGGCAAGAAAGGACUAGGAGACCAAAAUAAACAAUGGAGGGGAAAAAAAACAGCGUAAAAAGCUGAUAUAAGAGGGAAAGACUUGAGAAAGAAAAUAAAAACAGAAUAUCUGAUGGAGAAGAGAUCUUCCCCCUCAAAAAGCUUGUAUGACUGAAAGGGAAAAACAGGAGAGCUAAGCUUGGAAGCUCAGAUGAAGGAAGGAGAGGAAGUAGUGAAAGACACUAGAAGAUGAGAGAAAAUUUAAAAAAUGACACAAAAUACUAAGAGUGUUGUAGAAGAUCAAAAAGGAUGAGAGAAAAAUGCUGGAAACUCUUAGAAGAUGAAAUGUCGGGAAGAAAAUGAUCCAACAGAGUGUCAGUUACCUAUCAAUACCCACCAAAAAAGAAUAAAUACAUCCAAUUGACUAAACAGAAAAAGAACAAUAAGAUCUCAGAUUUCAGGCUCAUCUUUACCUUUCUGAAAUAUCUUUUUAUGAUGGUGUGCACUGCUGCAUUCUGAAUAAGGAAGAUGAUCCCCAAUCACACUGAAUCUCAGAACUUAUUAAGUAUGAAAGAAAUGGUAGCUAAGAAAUGUUUACAGAAAGAAAUCUACCAAAGAAUCUAUCAAAGAAAUAAGAACAAAUUUACCUUCAGUUCUCCUUCAUUUUGUUUCUAAUAUGCAAGUGGGUUGUGAGACUGGAAGAAUACUUUUGCUCCCAAUAUUCAAAUGAAACUUUGACUGUGGAGGCUUAUGCUGUGCUGUUUCAAAGUUUCUGCUCAUUUUGCAUUAAAGAAUUUACACAAGCAGAGGAAAAAAAAACCAGCAGCAGCAACAAAGCCACCUACCGCUGCCAGGUGAGCAGACUGCGGUGAGGCAUGGGUUCUGGGGUUACCAGAGGCUGAACAAUUUAUUGGAGAGGGCAAGGAAAACCAACUUUUUCAUCAGGAAUCCACAGAGGUUUCCAGAGAAAAAAGGAGGUUAUUUAAACAAAGAUGUAUCUUCUGCUCUUUGAAAAUGCCCUGCCCUGGACUUCUCCAGUGUUUCACUAGAGUUAAGCUGGAAGAGAUUUGUGUACACUUCAACAGCAGAUAGAGGAAAAGCUUCAUGAACCAUAUCGUAAUAACUUGUACAUUAUCCUCCCUGCUGCAAAAAUCCUUUCAUGAUGAGAGCAACAGUACUUAAGAAGAUUAUAACAGUUUUACAAGAAUUAAAUACCUACAGGUAUUUGAUCUACAUAAAUUAGAUAUGACUGGGGGAAAAGGUAUUUCUAAUAGGCUUUUUUGAGAUAUCUGCUAGAGUUCUCUGUCAGCAUAUGAAGCUACAUUAAACUCUAUACAUAUUUUCCCGAGGGGUCAUACUGUUAGAUAAGUUUAAGAAAAUCAAGACUUAAUUAAACUUUGAAUGAUAUAUUCCUAGGAAAGAGCUUGUCUGGGGCCAUUUUUGUUUGAAAGGGUUUUUCAUAAUCUAUGAACAGAUUUAUGCUGGAUAUGGUCCUGAUUCCUUGCAACACCUAAUGCUGUCUUCUUCUUUCAAGCAGUGGCUUCAAAAAAAUUCAACAAAUCUUUUACUUCCUACAGUUAGUUGUGGUACCUUGAUGCAACAGCUAAUACACCUUUAGUUAAUACAUUAGUUUUAGCAGUGAACAGGUCCUUCUAUACAUGGAAAACCCUAAUUAUUUUUGUACAAUGUAGAUGUUCUUUUUUUUCCUAAUUGCUGCCAAGAGAGCUUAAAGAAAUGCAAGACAUAAAUAUAAGAAAAAAUCUCAAAUUACUGAGCAGUAAAUGCAUUUGGCAAACACACUAUCAUAGUAAGUGAAGCAAUGGAAAAUAAAGUAGGAGGGAUUCAUUUCCAUGUUUUUCCUAAAUCAAGAAUGAAGGGGGGAUAUGCUUCCUGAAAGUCUCCUAACAAUGAUAAAAGAAGGAAAAGAACAAGGUUAAUGUUGUUGGCCUUUAAAAAUCAUGAUGGUUAAGGACACAAAACAUUUUUGAGCAAUAUGCGAAGCAUAAGACAGUGUGGUAAUGGAACUAUGAUUAGUUCGGAAUUUGAAAUAUCACGGGUUCAGACAAGGUUGCUUAGGGUUGUGUCCAGAUGGGUCUUGAAAACCUCCAGAGAUGUAGAUUACCAAAAGCAAAAACCUGUGUAUUCCAGGAUGAUACUAUGAGGAAAUACCACAUUAUGCUUGCUCUGUUCCCCAAGUGUCUGGUUUUGGCCAUUUGCUGUAUCAAAGACAGAAAACAGAAAAGAAAGAAAGCUGGAUGUUUUGAAUUGACACACACUAGUAUUCUUUAAUCCUUCUAAAUUUGAUUCAAGAAAAUGGAGAGAAAUUUGGUAAGAACAUUGCAGCAGAAAGCAACAUGGAUCAUACUGAUAACUCUUCAAAGAAAUAAUAUUAGGGGAACAAGUGUAGAGGGAAGUAGGAGAUCAACACAGUGAACUCUUGAGCUUUAAAUUUCCUUUGAACACAAGAAGGAAGCAUACAGUGAGUAAAAGGCAGGUCAGCUUACCAAGGAGAAGUAGAAGCCCAAAGGGACAAAAAAAAAUAAGGCCAAGCCUCAAAAGAUAUUUAAUUUAGUCAGGGAACAACAACAACAACAAAAAAAAACUGUUCCAGAACUAUUAGCUGCAUGGUGAAGACCAAGGAAAGAGUUUGUCUGCUGUUCAUGAAAGCAAAGCUGUCAAGAGAUAGUACUGGCAAGUCUGAAGAGGCAAAUAGAAGAGUUGGAGAGCUUUUUUGCCCCAUCCACUGGAAAAAAAUUCCCCCAUUUUUCCUGAUGUGUUUGUUUAGGAACUGAAGCAAAUGAUUCAUUUUAUUCCUAUUUCAUCUAGGAAUUCCUAUUUUCUUCUCCUUUUGCUUUCAGUCAGCAUUUUUCUACAGCUCUAAACUACAUACUUUUACAUUGUAUCAAGACUGUGUGCAUUAGCCCAAGCCUGAAAGCUGGAUGAAUACUCUGUAAAAUGUGGGUAUAAUUGGCUCUCUGCAAAGUUCCCAUAAAAACUAAGUAUAUGUACAAGAGGAUGGAUGGAUGGAUGGGUGGAUAGAUAGAUUAUAGUUGUGUACAUAAAGGUAUCUGCCUUCCACUGCAGUGGAAGGGACUGGGUAGGACGAAGGUGGCAGUGUAGAGAUCUGAGGGAAUAGCUAUCUCCCUGUCACCAGAUAAGCUUCCUAACAUCCUAUGGAGUCUUUCAGAGAGUUUGUAAGAUCAAGUUCAUCAAUUUCACAGCACCUGAUGCCACUCUACAAUAUUACUGGUAAAGGUCCAGUGUAAAGUCCAGAUGAGAUCAAGGCCUAUCUGCUUCCCAGAAUUGUUCAUGUUCAUAAAAAGUGUCUUUUCUGAAGACAUUUGGAGGGGGUUGUGUAUUUGGUGUGAUCUGAUCUUUAGCAGCUGUGACUGUUGAUUUCUUGCCAUUAUAUCCUGACUUUAAAAAGAAGAAAGCAUUUUCUUUUCAGUAACAAUGUCUUUUGUAAAGCAGAAUCAUAGAAAUACUGCAGUCGAUUCAAUUGUUAUGUUAUUUUCUACUCACACACCUGAGCAAAUUACAUCCUUAUCUUGUAUGGUGUAAUGUUCCAGUCUGUAUUCAUUCUUACAUUGUUAAAUAUAUUGUUAACAGAAAAACAGAUUGGAGUUUUAUACGAGAGACUAACUCUGUAGUAAAUGCAAUUCAAACUAUUGUUAUAUUUUGUGGAACUCCAGAGUAAUGAAUUAAAAUUACAAGUGUAGUAUUUCUAAUUGUAAAUAAUGCUAUUCUUCUGAGUAAUUGAUUUUACUGCUAACAAAAAGCAGAGGACAAAAGUUAUUUUCAUGUGUUGAUCAUUCUAUGA